CCCGCACGCCGCCCCGCACGCCGCCCAUGCUCGAGACGUACUCGAUGGGCCCGAUGCGGAAGAUCUUCCUCAGCGUGCGGUGCGCACGGAGAUCACCUUCGACUUCCACCGGCUGGGCGUGCUGCUGCUGCGCGCGGCCGUGCUGGACGGCGCGCUCGUCGCCAAGAAGAUCGCCACCGCCACCGUCGGCGAGGCGCGCAUACAGGCCACCCUCGCGGCGCGCCGGCUGGAGGUGGGCGGCUCCCUGGGCGGCGUGCAGGUGGUGUCGCUGUGCGAGGGCGCGG